UUGUGAUUGUGCAUUGUUUUGUUGUGUUGAAAUCGUUGUGAAACAAAUAUUUCCAGUUUGAGUCCCAUUGCCUUGGCUUAGAAGACAUUCAUUCAUUCCUCCCACAGCUUGCCAAACAACAAGUAUUGCAAGAACCAGGAGCAAAAAUAAAAAAUCACCAAAAAGUCAUAACAUAAAAACCCAUAAAUUUUCCUCAGAAAAUUCUUGUCGGAAUCAAGUGGGGAAAACUUAUUCUCUGGUUUCAUCUAAACCAGAAAAAAAAUAUAACAACUUUCAUAGCAGCAGCAGCAGCAUCCAGCCAGCUAGCCAGGCAACAAACAUCAUACCAAAGUUUGAUUUGUAGUUGAAAACUAAGCAAAAAGUGUUUGUAAAUGUGUGUGUGUGUGUCUCUUGUGUGUGAAUGUGUAAACGACAGGCAAGCAAGCCAACAAGAAGUAAACCAGCAACUGAGCUAAACUGAAGGAUCCUACUAAGAAUUUCGGCCACAAAUCAUAAAGUUUAUGAUUUGUUAUCCCAAAGGAAACCUGUGGAUUACUGUGCGUUGCUGUGUAAUGGUGAAAAACCCAAGGAAGUCUUGAAUUUCCAUCCUAAAUCCACAUUUUGCAUCCUUUUUCCUUGGAUUUUUGGAUAAACUCUUGAGAAAACUAAGCUGCACAUUCACAUCCAUUCAAUUUGAACCAACGAGCGAGUGAACGAACCAACACAUACAUCAUAGAGAGAUAAUAAAUGCUACUAAAUUUAACCCAGCAUGUGUGUGUCUGUGUGUGAGUGAGUGGGAGAGAGACAGAGAAAAGACCAUGCUUUAAAAGACAAUUCAAUUGACAAUUUGGUUUAAAUAAAUCUACAUAAAAAUCCAUAAAAAAAAACAGCUGGAAUUGAAUUGAAUGGUAGAUGAAAUGAAAUAAAAAUCCGGCAAAAGGAAAGUAACAAAAAACUAAAGAGACAAAAUAAGUGAACGAAAUUGAGGGGAAAACGAAAGAGAGGGAGAGGAAAAAUAAAUGUGAGUGGUACAAGCAAGCGAAGCAAACGGUUAAAAAAUAACAGCGAUACACAUAAACAGUAAAACGGAAACGGAAAUUGUAAAAUAAAAAUCCGCACACAAAUAUACCCAAACGAACACACAGAGUGAAUGGCAGAUUAUAAAGUAGAUUCAUAAAAAAGGCAACAAGAAACUUUGACAAAAAAAGUACAAGGACAAUAUCCUUGCAAAACAACCAAACCAAAGAAUAAAGAAAACAAAACACAGAACAAACCAAACCAGCCAAGCCCAGCCCAGCAAGGACAACAGUACAAACCCCCUAGCAUGCGGAUGGUCCUUCGUCAUUGAGGCCAAGUAACAAACAAACAAACAAACGAACGAACCAAUAAACUGAUAAACAUUUACAGUUAUAACUAUCCUCUUUAAACAACUACUGCCACUUCCGGUUGACUGGUUAUUGGUGUGCUCGACUUCGGUUCGUUAUUUUUUUUCGCUGCUUCUCCGUUCAUUUCAGUCGUUUGUCUGCCGUCGUGUUUUUUUUUUUUUCGUUUUGUGGCAUAUCUUAAGAAGUUUCUGACAUUUACACAGUGUAGUCUACGUUGAACCGUAGGAAAAACACAACAACAACAACAUAAACAUGACGUCUUCGACGGCAAUGCCAGCGAAAGCAAUCAGAACAAAAACAAAAAUCCUGCCGCCUUUAAUAGCACCAACAACAACAAUUGAAGCCACAACACCUCCACUUAGCAGUUAUCGUCAUCACAGCCACAAGCAUGGACGCUGUGGAAGUGGCAUCACGAGACAAUAUCCCCGACAUCUGUUGGCUUACAGUCUGCUAUCGAUUUUGGUCGUAUUGUGUUGGC